rnacentral:tRNA from 2 species
GGGACUGUAGCGAAACGGUAUCGUAUCGGGACCCUAUUCCGAUGAGUGUGUCUGACAGCAGCGUUCAGGCAGAAAAUGGGGCAUGGAGUUGCAACCAUGAAAGCGCUAACCUCUGCAGGUUCGAAUCCUGCUGGUCCCA